rnacentral:rRNA from 1 species
GCGACCCCAGUCAGCGAUCA